rnacentral:rRNA from 1 species
UACGUAGGGUGCAAGCGUUAGUCGGAAUUACUGGGCGUAAAGCGUGCGCAGGCGGUUAUGUAAGACAGAUGUGAAAUCCCCGGGCUCAACCUGGGAACUGCAUUUGUGACUGCAUAGCUAGAGUACGGUAGAGGGGGAUGGAAUUCCGCGUGUAGCAGUGAAAUGCGUAGAUAUGCGGAGGAACACCGAUGGCGAAGGCAAUCCCCUGGACCUGUACUGACGCUCAUGCACGAAAGCGUGGGGAGCAAACAGG